rnacentral:miRNA from 1 species
AUAUAUAUAUAUAUAUAUAUAUAUAUAUAUAUAUACACACACAUAUAUAUAGAGAGAGAUAUGUAUAUAUAUACACACACACACACAUAUAUAUAUAUAUGUAUAUAUAUA